AGGACGAACGCUGGCGGCGUGCUUAAUACAUGCAAGUCGAGCGGUCUCGCGUAAGCGGGACAGCGGCGGACGGGUGAGGAACACGUGAGUAACCGGGCACGGAGUGGGGGAUAUCGGGCCGAAAGGCGCGGCAAUCCCGCAUAGCGUCCCCGGCGUGCCAGCGCCGGGGGGAAAGGGAUCUUCGGAUCUCGCUCCGUGGGGGGCUCGCGGCCCGUUAGCUAGUUGGGGGGUAAUGGCCUCCCAAGGCGACGAUGGGUAGCCGGCCUGAGAGGGUGAUCGGCCACACUGGGACUGAGACACGGCCCAGACUCCUACGGGCGGCAGC
rnacentral:rRNA from 1 species